rfam:Pseudomassariella vexata strain CBS 129021 BCR38scaffold_3, whole genome shotgun sequence.
GGCGCAGUGGCAGAGUGGUCUAAUGCGAUAGACUAGAAUAUGGUAUCAUACAAUACUUCUAGAUCAUCUAUUCUCUUCGGAGGCAGCGGUUCAAAUCCGCUCUGCGUCG